rnacentral:lncRNA from 1 species
GCGGGCUGGGGGACGGCCGGCUGGGAGCGCGUGCCUGCCCGCUCCCCGCGUGCUCAGGAAUGUGGAGCUUCGCACCAGGGCGCUUUGUUUAAAAUAAGAAACAUUUAGUGGAAGAAGAUGUGUUUUUUUCCAGGGGAAUUCCACUGAGCUGAAACCCUGUCCGCCGGCAACAUCGCUGCGGCUGCUGCCGGCGGCCGCCGACCUUGGCGCGGCCGCGGCGGGCACAGGACCGCGUCCUCGGCUGCUGCCUCGCUGCCGUGCCGUGCCGGGCCGGACCGUGCCGCGCCGAGCCUUGCUGUGCCGUGCCGGGCCGGACCGUGCCGUGCCGUGCCGUGCCGUGCCGGGCCGGGCCGCGCCGAGCCUUGCUGUGCCGCGCCGGGCCGGACCCUCCAUCGCUGCGGCGUUUGCACCGAGUUCGCAAGGUCUCAGUGCCCACCUGCCCUCACCUGUGCUUAAAUUGUUCAGCUGUAGCAGCGGUUUCUGCCAGCGGACCAGCUGUUGCACCAUUUCAGAAAGAAGUCCUAACAAAAAUAUUUUCCUGGUUGUAUAUCAAGAGGAUGUGAUUCACGCCAUAAAAAAAGUUAUGUGGCAUGAUGAAAUGGAAAGAUAUAUUGAAAAUAUGGUCAAACUAGAACAAGAUCAAAGGUGAUGAUGAAAUUUGUAGCUGGUUAAAGAAAAUGGUUUGUUUUUUGGAGUGCUGCAGUAGUCUUGAAAUGACACAGAGCAUAAAUAUCUGGACACUUAAUCCAAACCCCACCUAAUUGGUUGGAACCUAUUUGGAAGAAGUUUACAAAGCUUAAUUCUUACAGGUCUAUAAAAA